GUGUCAGCCGCCGCGGUAAUACAGGGGGUGCGAGCGUUAUUCGGAUUUAUUGGGCGUAAAGAGCGUGUAGGUGGUCUAUUAAGUCUGGUGUGAAAUCCCUGGGCUCAAUCCAGGAAGUGCAUUGGAUACUGAUAGACUAGAGUGCAGGAGAGGUAAGCGGAAUUCCCGGUGUAGAGGUGAAAUUCGUAGAUAUCGGGAGGAACAACAGAGGCGAAGGCGGCUUACUGGACUGCUACUGACACUAAGGCGCGAAAGCAUGGGGAGCAAACAGGAUUAGAUACCCGCGUAGUCC
rnacentral:rRNA from 1 species